GUUAGUUCAUAUUUGUAUGGAAUGGGAUCGUUUGCGUGCGUUUGCCGCUAGGGGCGCUGUUCCAACUGCAUACAAAAUUGGCUUAACUUUUACGCUAUCGAGACCGUUAAGAAACUCGCACUAAGCACACUGAUGUUAGGCGGUCACUGCCGCUAAUAGACAGUUCGACAUUACUGCCGCCGUCGAAACUGUGCUAUCAGGUCGACGACGCAAUUAAAAUAACAGCCAUCUUACACUUGUAUUUAAUAUGUGAUUAAUGCUUUAGCACUGUGCUAUAGCUAUCGAUAAAAACAGUAAAAAAAGACAAAUGCCAUGUUUACAAAACGAAUUAUUGAAGUGUCACUACAGAUUUCAUUAUUGAUAUAACAAGACAUUGCUGUUCAUAGGAUCAAUUACAAAAUACCACACGAAUAGAAAUAGAAGAGAAAGCGAGCUUAUGACAACGCGGUAAAAAAAAACGCUCUAGAUUUUUUUUAUUGUUUAAAUGGGUGAACGAGCUCAGAGCCCAUCUUAUCUUAAGUGGUUACUGGAGCCCAUAGACAUUUACAACGGAAAUGCGCCACCCACCUUGAGAUAUAAGUUCCAAGGUCUCAAGUACCCCGGCUACAACGGCUGCCCCACCCUUCAAAUCGAAACGCAUUACUGCUUUACGGCAGAAAUAGGCAGGGUGAUGGGACCUACCCGCACGGGCUCAGAAGAGGUCCUACCACCAGUAAUUACACAAAUUAUAAUUAUGCGGGUAUGAUUUUUACUACACGAUGUUAUUCCUUCACCGUGGAAGUCAAUCGUGAACAUUUGUUGAGUACGUAUUUCAUUAGAAAAAUUUGUACCUGCCUGAGAUUCGAACACCGGUGCAUUGCUCAACACGAAUGCACCGGACGUCUUAUCCUUUAGGCCACGACGACUUUCAUUGUUGAUAUAACCAAGACGUUGCUGUUCAUAGGAUUACUUACAAAAUACCACACGAAUAGAGAGAGAAGAAAAAGCGAUCUUAUGACAACGCGUGUCCUGUUGAAUCCCUAUCCCCGCGCUACCUUCAGGAACGUUUUGAUUUCCUACAUACUGCAAACUCCCAUUCACUUAGGUCAUCGGAGAAUUUAAUGCUGAAGUUUCCGGCUCACGGGACGUCAUUUUGUGAACAUUCCUUUACGGUUGAAGCAGUCCGUUUAUGGAAUACACUACCCUUAAGCAUCAAACAAUCGUCCUCGCCGGAAAUUGUCAAGUUCAGAUUAAAAUCGCGCUACCUUGCACAAUAAUAUGGUUGUGCUAUUACCUGGAACCACCAGCGCCGGCGAGCGACAGCAGAGAGGAGCAGCGAGAGCAGACGGAGGGCGCGCGGAGUCGGUUGUGAGCCCUAAUCGGUUCGGGAACCUUCUCCCGGUCCGUCAGUGCGAGGACUGUCGAACAUUUCCUCAAGCCUGUAACAAAAUCCCAAUCUUAAAUUUCUACAACAAUAACUAAUAAAAUUACUAAUAAAGAAAUAAUAACUAAUAAAUAAUAAAAUUAUAA